AUUCCAGCUCCAAUAGCGUAUAUUAAAGUUGUUGCAGUUAAAAAGCUCGUAGUUGGAUUUCUGUUCUCGAGGAUCGGUCCGCCUCACGGUGAGCACUGGUUUUUCUUGGGGACAUCCUCUCGAAGGCGGGUGGUGCACUUAAUUGUGUGCUGCUUGGAUUCGGGACCUUUACUUUGAAAAAAUUAGAGUGUUCAAAGCAGGCGUCGGCUUGAAUACAUUAGCAUGGAAUAAUGGAAUAGGACUUUGGUUCUAUUUUGUUAGUCUGAGGGGUUCGAGUAAUGAUUAAUAGGGAUAGUUGGGGACAUUCAUAUCGCAUGGCUAGAGGUGAAAUUCAUGGAUUCAUGCAAGAUGAACUACUGCGAAAGCAUUUGUCAAAGAUGUUUUCAUCA
rnacentral:rRNA from 1 species